rnacentral:tmRNA from 1 species
GGGGACGUUACGGAUUCGACAGGCACAGUCGAGCUUGAAUUGCGUUUCGUAGGUUACGUCUACGUAAAAACGUUACAGUUAAAUAUAACUGCUAAAAACGAAAACAACUCUUACGCUUUAGCUGCCUAAAAAACAGUUAGCGUAGAUCCUCUCGGCAUCGCCCAUGUGCUCGAGUAAGGGUCCUAACUUUAGUGGGAUACGUUUCAACUUUCCGUCUGUAAGUUGAAAAAGAGAACAUCAGACUAGCGAUACAGAAUGCCUGUCACUCGGCAAGCUGUAAAGUGAAUCCUUAAAUGAGUUGACUAUGAACGUAGAUUUUUAAGUGGCGAUGUGUUUGGACGCGGGUUCGACUCCCGCCGUCUCCAUAU